UGUGAGCUCGAUGAGUAGGGCGGGACACGUGGUAUCCUGUCUGAAUAUGGGGGGACCAUCCUCCAAGGCUAAAUACUCCUGACUGACCGAUAGUGAACCAGUACCGUGAGGGAAAGGCGAAAAGAACCCCGGCGAGGGGAGUGAAAAAGAACCUGAAACCGUGUACGUACAAGCAGUGGGAGCACGCUUAGGCGUGUGACUGCGUACCUUUUGUAUAAUGGGUCAGCGACUUAUAUUCUGUAGCAAGGUUAACCGAAUAGGGGAGCCGAAGGGAAACCGAGUCUUAACUGGGCGUUAAGUUGCAGGGUAUAGACCCGAAACCCGGUGAUCUAGCCAUGGGCAGGUUGAAGGUUGGGUAACACUAACUGGAGGACCGAACCGACUAAUGUUGAAAAAUUAGCGGAUGACUUGUGGCUGGGGGUGAAAGGCCAAUCAAACCGGGAGAUAGCUGGUUCUCCCCGAAAGCUAUUUAGGUAGCGCCUCGUGAAUUCAUCUCCGGGGGUAGAGCACUGUUUCGGCAAGGGGGUCAUCCCGACUUACCAACCCGAUGCAAACUGCGAAUACCGGAGAAUGUUAUCACGGGAGACACACGGCGGGUGCUAACGUCCGUCGUGAAGAGGGAAACAACCCAGACCGCCAGCUAAGGUCCCAAAGUCAUGGUUAAGUGGGAAACGAUGUGGGAAGGCCCAGACAGCCAGGAUGUUGGCUUAGAAGCAGCCAUCAUUUAAAGAAAGCGUAAUAGCUCACUGGUCGAGUCGGCCUGCGCGGAAGAUGUAACGGGGCUAAACCAUGCACCGAAGCUGCGGCAGCGACGCUUAUGCGUUGUUGGGUAGGGGAGCGUUCUGUAAGCCUGCGAAGGUGUGCUGUGAGGCAUGCUGGAGGUAUCAGAAGUGCGAAUGCUGACAUAAGUAACGAUAAAGCGGGUGAAAAGCCCGCUCGCCGGAAGACCAAGGGUUCCUGUCCAACGUUAAUCGGGGCAGGGUGAGUCGACCCCUAAGGCGAGGCCGAAAGGCGUAGUCGAUGGGAAACAGGUUAAUAUUCCUGUACUUGGUGUUACUGCGAAGGGGGGACGGAGAAGGCUAUGUUGGCCGGGCGACGGUUGUCCCGGUUUAAGCGUGUAGGCUGGUUUUCCAGGCAAAUCCGGAAAACUAAGGCUGAGGCGUGAUGACGAGGCACUACGGUGCUGAAGCAACAAAUGCCCUGCUUCCAGGAAAAGCCUCUAAGCAU
rnacentral:rRNA from 1 species